rnacentral:rRNA from 1 species
ACGUGAGCUGGGUUUAAAACGUCGUGAGACAGUUUGGUCCCUAUCUGCCGUGGGCGUUGGAUAUUUGAAGGGGGCUGCUCCUAGUACGAGAGGACCGGAGUGGACGAACCUCUGGUGUACCGGUUGUCACGCCAGUGGCAUCGCCGGGUAGCUAUGUUCGGAAGAGAUAACCGCUGAAAGCAUCUAAGCGGGAAACUCGCCUUAAGAUGAGAUAUCCCUGGGGACUAGAUCCCCUUGAAGGGUCGUUCGAGACCAGGACGUUGAUAGGUCGGGUGUGUAAGCGCAGUAAUGCGUUCAGCUAACCGAUACUAAUUGCCCGUAAGGCUUGAUCCUAUAACA